CCAAUAGCGUAUAUUAAAGUUGUUGCAGUUAAAAAGCUCGUAGUUGAACUUCGGGGUUUACCCAUUGGUCAGGCUUAAUUGUCUGUACUGGUGAGAUAAAUCUCUACCUUCUGAGGAACUUUCAUGCCAUUUAUUUGGUGUGAUUGGAAAUCAGGACUGUUACUUUGAAAAAAUUAGAGUGUUUAAAGCAGGCUAACGUCUGAAUACAUUAGCAUGGAAUAAUGAAAUAGGACGGAUUGAUUCUAUUUCGUUGGUUUCUAGGAUCACCGUAAUGAUUAAUAGGGAUAGUUGGGGGCAUUAGUAUUCAAUUGUCAGAGGUGAAAUUCUUGGAUUUAUUGAAGACUAACUACUGCGAAAGCAUUUGCCAAGGAUGUUUUCAUUAAUCAAGAACGAAAGUUAGGGGAUCGAAGACGAUCAGAUACCGUCGUAGUCUUAACCAUAAACUAUGCCGACUAGGGAUCGGACGAAGUUAAUUUUAUAAUGACGCGUUCGGCACCUUACG
rnacentral:rRNA from 1 species